rnacentral:rRNA from 1 species
UGAGGUGCCAAGGAUUUUAUUCCCGCAGCAUCGACCGACCCUGCGAUUCUUCAAAAGGUUUGAGUACAAGCAUAUUCGCCGGGACCCGAAAGAUGGUGAUCUAUAUUUGUUUAGGGCGAAGCCGCAGGAAACUGCGGUGGAGGCUCGUAGCCGUUCUGACGUGCAAAUCGAUGGUCAAAAAUGAAUAUAGGGGCGAAAGACUAAUCGAACCAUCUGGUAGCUGGUUCCAUUCGAAGUUUCCCUCAGGAUAGCUGAAACUCGCAUAGACAAAGUUUCAUCCGGUAAAGCGAAUGAUUAGAGGAACUGGGAAAAAAAUUUUCUCGGCCUAUUCUCAAACUUUAAAUAGGUGAGAUGCUCUUCUUACUUGAUUGAAGAGGGGCAAAGAAUUUGAGUUUUUAGUGGGCCAUUUUUGGUAAGCAGAACUGGCGAUGCGGGAUGAACCGAUCGGGGGGUUAAAGAGCCCGAGUGAAUGCUUA